AGAGUUUGAUCCUGGCUCAGGAUGAACGCUGGCGGCGUGCCUAACACAUGCAAGUCGAACGGACUUUUCAUGAAGCCUAGCGAUUGAAAAGUUAGUGGCGGACGGGUGAGUAACGCGUGGGUAACCUGCCUUGUACUGGGGGACAACAGUUGGAAACGACUGCUAAUACCGCAUAAGCGCACAGCUUCGCAUGAAGCAGUGUGAAAAACUCCGGUGGUACAAGAUGGACCCGCGUCUGAUUAGCUGGUUGGUGAGGUAACGGCCCACCAAGGCGACGAUCAGUAGCCGGCCUGAGAGGGUGAACGGCCACAUUGGGACUGAGACACGGCCCAAACUCCUACGGGAGGCAGCAGUGGGGAAUAUUGCACAAUGGGGGAAACCCUGAUGCAGCAACGCCGCGUGAGUGAAGAAGUAUUUCGGUAUGUAAAGCUCUAUCAGCAGGAAAGAAAAUGACGGUACCUGACUAAGAAGCCCCGGCUAACUACGUGCCAGCAGCCGCGGUAAUACGUAGGGGGCAAGCGUUAUCCGGAUUUACUGGGUGUAAAGGGAGCGUAGACGGUUUUGCAAGUCUGAAGUGAAAGCCCGGGGCUUAACCCCGGGACUGCUUUGGAAACUGUAGAACUAGAGUGCAGGAGAGGUAAGUGGAAUUCCUAGUGUAGCGGUGAAAUGCGUAGAUAUUAGGAGGAACACCAGUGGCGAAGGCGGCUUACUGGACUGUAACUGACGUUGAGGCUCGAAAGCGUGGGGAGCAAACAGGAUUAGAUACCCUGGUAGUCCACGCCGUAAACGAUGAUUACUAGGUGUUGGUG
rnacentral:rRNA from 1 species